AUUGAACGCUGGCGGCAGGCCUAACACAUGCAAGUCGAGCGGAGCGGCGGACGGGCGAGUAAUGCCUAGGUAUCUGCCUGGCCGUGGGGGAUAACGUCCGGACACGGGCGCUAAUACCGCAUACUUCCAGAUGAGCCUAGGUUGGAUUAGCUAGUUGGUGGGGUAAGGGCCUACCAAGGCGACGAUCCAUAACUGGUCUGAGAGGAUGACCUGCCACACUGGAACUGAGACACGGUCCAGACUCCUACGGGAGGCAGCAGUGGGGAAUAUUGCACAAUGGGCGAAAGCCUGAUGCAGCCAUGCCGCGUGAAUGAAGAAGGCCUUCGGGUUGUAAAGUACUUUCAGCGGGGAGGCGUUACCCGCAGAGGAAGCACCGGCUAACUCCGUGCCAGCAGCCGCGGUAAUAC
rnacentral:rRNA from 1 species